CCUACGGGUGGCAGCAGUGGGGAAUAUUGCACAAUGGGCGAAACCCUGAUGCAGCAACGCCGCGUGCAUGAAGAAGUUUUUCGGUAUGUAAAGCCCUAUUAGCAGGGAAGACAAUUACGUUACCUGACUUAUAAUCCACGUCUAACCACGUGCCAGCAGCCGCGGUAAUACGUAGGGGGCAAGCGUUAUCCGGAGUUACUGGGUGUAGAGGGGGCGUAGGCGGUUGUGCAAGUCUGAAGGGAAAGGCCGGGGGUACACCGCCGACCGGCUUUGGAAACUGUGUAACUAGAGUGCUGGAGAGGUAAGCGGAAUUCCAGGUGUAGCGGUGAAAUGCGUAGAUAUCAGGAAGAACAC
rnacentral:rRNA from 1 species